rnacentral:rRNA from 1 species
CCGUAAUCCGGGUUGCGGACAGUGUCUGGUGGGUAGUUUGACUGGGGCGGUCUCCUCCUAAAGAGUAACGGAGGAGCACGAAGGUUGGCUAAUCCUGGUCGGACAUCAGGAGGUUAGUGCAAUGGCAUAAGCCAGCUUGACUGCGAGCGUGACGGCGCGAGCAGGUGCGAAAGCAGGUCAUAGUGAUCCGGUGGUUCUGAAUGGAAGGGCCAUCGCUCAACGGAUAAAAGGUACUCCGGGGAUAACAGGCUGAUACCGCCCAAGAGUUCAUAUCGACGGCGGUGUUUGGCACCUCGAUGUCGGCUCAUCACAUCCUGGGGCUGAAGUAGGUCCCAAGGGUAUGGCUGUUCGCCAUUUAAAGUGGUACGCGAGCUGGGUUUAGAACGUCGUGAGACAGUUCGGUCCCUAUCUGCCGUGGGCGCUGGAGAACUGAGGGGGGCUGCUCCUAGUACGAGAGGACCGGAGUGGACGCAUCACUGGUGUUCGGGUUGUCAUGCCAAUGGCACUGCCCGGUAGCUAAAUGCGGAAGAGAUAAGUGCUGAAAGCAUCUAAGCACGAAACUUGCCCCGAGAUGAGUUCUCCCUGAGACUUAG